UACGUAGGGUGCAAGCGUUAAUCGGAAUUACUGGGCGUAAAGCGUGCGCAGGCGGUGAUGUAAGACAGAUGUGAAAUCCCCGGGCUCAACCUGGGAACUGCAUUUGUGACUGCAUCGCUAGAGUACGGCAGAGGGGGAUGGAAUUCCGCGUGUAGCAGUGAAAUGCGUAGAUAUGCGGAGGAACACCGAUGGCGAAGGCAAUCCCCUGGGCCGUACUGACGCUCAUGCACGAAAGCGUGGGAGAACAGGA
rnacentral:rRNA from 1 species